ensembl:lncRNA
GAGGGUACAGGAAAAACACAGGCAGGCAGGCUGAGGGGAUUCUUCUGUUGAGUCCCCAGCCCACCCUGAGUAACACAACCAGAUAAGUCAGGUUAUACCCAUGUGCACAUAAGCACAUGUACGCACACACACUCUACCACACACACACACACACACACACACAAACCUGGACUGAGCUCUCUUCCAGGGGAGGGCCUUAGGUCAGGUCACAGUAUGAGAUCCCCUCUUCUGAAUAUUAUCCCAAUAGUGGUAACGGAGUACUCAGAUCUCCCCCGGCCCAUCACUACAGCCUGUCUAGUUACCUCUCCCCAACGCACUAGAUUAUGACAGCAAACAGACCUCUGAGAGAGGAAAGGAGACCAAGUCCCCGAAGCGCAGAGAAGGUGGACUCUGCCUGCUCAGCAAGUUCAUCGGUAAGACUAGGGUAUUCAUAAAAGGACUAGAGCCAAGCCAGUGGCACAGAACACACGCAAAGGGGUCACAGUGGAAUAUACAGGGCAGAAGUCAGUCAGAAGGAGAGUCUGCAGUGAGGGAUUAGAGAGCAUACCCUUCUCAGACAGACCAUGAGGUGCAGAUUUCUUUCUUGGAAACCGUCUGCCGAGGGCCAGAAAGUCUGCUAGGGAUCUAAAGGUGGGAGCUGUUCUUCUCUCAGGAGUUUUGGUGCAAGGAGAGUCACUGAGCUGGGUGCACAGGAGGCCACCGCUCAAAGAGGAGAGACGGGUCUCCUGUAGAAUCACAGGGGACUGGGAAGCACAAGGGGGUUAUGAACAGAGAAACAGGAAUGUAAAGCCCCAGAAGACCUUCUCCCAACGGAUGAGGACUCAAUUCAGAGCGAUGCCAGGCAUGCACAGACAAGAGUGCCUUGCUCUGACUGCUGUGGGAGUGACAGUCCCACCCAGACUGUUAAAAUCUUGGUUGAGUGUUUCAACCUAUCAGCAAAAUGUUACCCCAGCUACUUGCUUCAUGUCCUGGAGUGGGAAAUGUUCAUAUUUAGUUGUGAAUCACAAGUAUAUAGAGAUUCUACACACUAGUUCCUAGGGAAUAGAGUUCUAAGGACCAGAGACAUCCUAAAGUCAGAAGAUGCUUAAGACAGAUGCUUGAGAAGCGUAACUGGAGGCAGUGAGAACUCUGCAGAUAUCUAAUUUGAAAAUGACAUGGAUCCAACAUGGCUCACUUACUUUCUCACUUCAGCGGCUAAUCUCUGUUGAAUUUCUAUCUACAAAGAUACUGAGACAGCAAGUCAAGCAUUACUACAAGUGGUAAUCCUGAAUCAUUACAUAGUACUAUAUCCCCUAGAUUGAGGACUUAGGCUAAACCAGACAGAUGGGGCUUGAGAGGCCCUUGAAAACAUGCUAUGGAAGACAGCAGUGAGGGAAGAUGGCUAAACCUGAUCUGCCCUCCCUCUUACCAUCCUUCCCUUACUCAAGCCGGAAUGGUGGGUGGGCAUCACUGCCAAGUUGUUUCUCAUCAGAGAAACAGUAAAACAUCGUUCUUAGGUUCUAAAACAGCUCCUGCUUCCCUCACACAUAUGUUCAUAUUUGGUGUGCAUGCACGCUUGCCUACCUGCACACAGAGAUAGCAGAAAUGUCAGAGAAGUGUUUUCAGGUUUUUUUUUUUUUUUAAAAGGAAAACCAUGGAACCAGCAGCACUCUAAUUUCCCAUGAUCCUAGCCCUACUCCCUUAUACACUGUAAGCUGCAUAAAUCAAAGAAAACCUUGUCUACCCAGGACAGCCUCCCAAAACUGCGGCCUCUCCUGAAAUGAAGCACGACUCAGCCCCUAGAACCACUGGGAAGAGGGCAGGCUUGUAUGGCAGAGAACACCCAUUUGGUUCCCAGUACAUUUAAAAGCCCAUCCCUCCAGUGGCUGCUUUUAGUUCCUCACUGGGAUAGUUUCUGGAUUCUCAGUCUGCUGCUGUGAUUUCCUAGAGGUGAACACAAAAAUACCCCUCCUUCCCCACACACAUUCUCUGGGAUCCCAGUGCUCUGGGGCCUUAGAGGCAUCAUUUGUAGCCCAGGUGGUGAGUGUUCCUUGCAAAUCAAGAGAUCCAGGCUAGCUUACUCCCUCUGCACCAGCCUCAGCCAGAGAGCCCACUCCAACUCAGCCCCUUCACCAUUCAUUCUCAGGAUGCAUCUGAGAAAGCACUGUUGGAACUGCUGUUUUUAAAUUAUUAAAAUAAUUUGCAUAGCUAAAUUGUAGGUCUAAGGCUUCUAUGAAGAGGAAAGUUAAGUGUCUGACAGGGUGCUUAUGAAAACAGAGAAAGCAAGCUCCUUAAGUUCCACUUUUGGUGUAACUGAACAGUGCGCACGCACGCACACACACACACGCGCACGUAACAGCCAUCUCCUUGUCCCUUCUUGGGGAUAAUACCCCAGAGUGUCCCCAGAGUGUGCUAAGACCCCCCCACCAAUGGAAAUGGGCUGUUCAGAAGAACUGCAGAAGCAGCUACUACUAGGGGCGACCCAGCUAAGCUGCCCCCAGGGUUCAGAAGAGGCAGAAAAGCCAAAAGGAAGACAGUGCUUAUGCUUAGACUAGAUGCCCCUCAGCCUCCAGCACUGGUAAUAAGGGGAGACUCAGAAUGACCAAUGUGUUAUGAUGAUUUAAGGCUUCUACAGAGGAAGGGCUCCUCCACAGAGGAUGGAGGUAGCAGACACCAGGGCCCACACUGAUCACCUGAUAGGCUGAGGAAGCCAAACAUUUCCCGAUAUGAGCUCAACUGUCUGUUCUGUCAACCCAGCAGCCACCUACACCCAGCUUCACUAUUCAGCAUAGAGCCUGCCUCUAAGGUCAUCCCAAGAGGACACACCUCCGAAUUUGGGGUCACUUACUUCCCAAUUGCAAACUCCAUGAUCCUAAGUUUCAAUCGCUGUGUAAUGAGUCGCAUCAUCGCUAAUACCCAGUCGCAGGAUUCCCUGAACUUCCUGAGAGGCCAUUUGCUGAAAACAUAGUUGCUUAGUGUAGACCUUCAUCAAGGCUAACUCUCUAUCCUUGGUCACUUCGCCAUCCACUGGGAAUUUACUAACGAGCAGCUGUGGGGUCUGAGACAUAAACUUUCCCUUCCCAACAUUUACC